GGGGGUGUUCCGGAUUCGACCGGUACGGCAAGAAAUUGACUGCAUGCCGAGGAUGACCGUUGGCCUCGUUAAUCACCGGUUAAAACCUAACUGCGAACGAAGAGUUUGCUCUGGCGGCUUAGUCCCGCCACGUCGCUUUGCCCGACCGGGUGCUAAGGCAAAAGCGGCGUCAGACAGCGCCCUGGCGAAAGUUCCCUCCGUUCGGGAUUUUCGCGAGAACCAAGAACGGAUAGUCCGAGCCUGUGCCUGUCCGACGGCGUACGGCAAGGACGAUAAGCAAUAAAGACGGAACAAGCAUGUAGACGUCUCUGGCUCUCCUUAUCGGGACGCGGGUUCAACUCCCGCCACCUCCACCA
rnacentral:tmRNA from 1 species